rnacentral:rRNA from 1 species
AUUGAACGCUGGCGGCAUGCUUUACACAUGCAAGUCGAACGGUAACAGGCCGCAAGGUGCUGACGAGUGGCGAACGGGUGAGUAAUGCAUCGGAACGUGCCCAGUCGUGGGGGAUAACGCAGCGAAAGCUGCGCUAAUACCGCAUACGAUCUAUGGAUGAAAGCGGGGGACCGUAAGGCCUCGCGCGAUUGGAGCGGCCGAUGUCAGAUUAGGUAGUUGGUGGGGUAAAGGCUCACCAAGCCAACGAUCGGUAGCUGGUCUGAGAGGACGACCAGCCACACUGGGACUGAGACACGGCCCAGAGUCCUACGGGAGGCAGCAGUGGGGAAUUUUGGACAGUGGGCGCAAGCCUGAUCCAGCAAUGCCGCGUGCAGGAAGAAGGCCUUCGGGUUGUAAACUGCUUUUGUACGGAACGAAAAGGCUCUGGAUAAUACCUGGGGCUCAUGACGGUACCGUAAGAAUAAGCACCGGCUAACUACGUGCCAGCCGCCGCAGUAAAAC